GGGGGCGACAGGUAUCGACGGGUUCAGAAGCGGUUUGACGGUUGCAUGUCGAGGUUAUCCGCUGCCUCGUUAAACAGGCGGAUAGAAAUAACUGCCGCAUAAAUACGGCACGCUGUUCCGAAUAACAGGAACAGCCGUCCUCCCUGGAAUAGCUUUCCUUUCGGGGAUUGGGCGGAAGAAGGAAAGCUGGCUGCGAAGCCCCGUUUCCAGACGUAAGCAGCGAGAUUAAAUGGGAGCUAGGUCUGACAAGGCCGACCGGAGCCGAAUCAGAAUGACAUUAAUCCGGACUAAACAUGUAGAGCCGACAGAUCCCUGAUCUCGGACGCGGGUUCGAAUCCCGCCGCCUCCACCA
rnacentral:tmRNA from 1 species